GAUAUUUGGCGCAGUCUUAGGAUAAACCAACGAUAACCUAAUCUAUAUUUAUAUUUAUAACGUGAAUGUCCUGUGGUAUUUUAUUGAUAAAAGAUCUGAUUACCUGUCAGUGUCAUGUGAAAGAAAGAUGAAGGAAACUGUUGUACAAGUAUCGUGUGGUGGUCCAGAAUAUGGAACCGAAGAAGCUGUCGAAUAUCAGAAACGCGCUUUUCGGUUCAUGAAAAGAAUAGGCGUUUUCCAGUUAUCUGUAGGAUUUAUUGCCCUUGUUUCAGCACUAGGGGCGCUUGUUUGUGGGUUUAUGGUUGAAACGAUUAAUUAUCCAGUAAUUGACAUAUUUCCGCUACUAACCAGUGUAUUGGCUAUUCUUGCUGGAUAUUUUGCUCUGAAAACCUCACGAUGUACACCACAGUUACAAGUGGAUGUACCAACAAAACGUUAUGUUAUUAUUCAUUACGUUAUCGAUGUAACCAAUGUCUCGUUUGCUUCUUGCGGAGCGGCUUUUGCUGGCUGGGCUAUUGGUGUUUGUAAAUCUACUGAUGUAAAAACGAUUUCCUUUUGUAAUCCAAACCAUGAUAUUAUAUUAAUAUUUGCUAUUAUCAACUGUGUUGCUGGCGCUAUUAUCGCUAUUACUUGUAUCCCAGGAAUGAUAUUUUUCUGUUUAUAUGCUCGGGUAUUUGGAUUUACCAACAGAGAGGAUCGGGUUAGAGAUCUAGAAAAUAGAAUUACUAAUCUUCAACGACAAUUAGACAAUCAAAGACCGCCACCUUAUAGUAUUGAUGAUGAACCCCCUUCCUAUCAGAAUAACGGUUUCAAAUAUUGAUUUAAUAGUGAAAUGAAUUGCCCUUACAUCCCAAUUCUACCUCGUUGCCAGUGGCAACCUUUGAUAAAACUGUCCUGUUUAUUUCCAAUACAGGUAUAAAAGUAUCCGUGUAUCAGAAAUGAACAGUACGCUUUCCAUAAAGAGUACUGUUCAUUUCCGACAAACGAACACUUUUAUACCAGCAGGAUGAAAACAAACGCCUAGAAAGUCAUAAAUUUUAUUACAAAUAAAUUUCAACGGACGAACCAUCCACCGAUGCACACUUUACCAGGAUUGACCCACGUUGUGCAGUGUCCUUUACAUUUAAUAUAAUUGCAGUCCUCUACGCCAGGGACAAGUUGUUUUGACGAUAUGGUUGACUCUAUGUUCAUUGACUUCGUCAAAACAACUUCGUCUUUCAAUACGGAGUGCAGUCUAAUGAAAACACGUGACUGUUUUACGCUAAGGGUAACGCAACAAGACGCACGUGUAAAUACUAUUUUUCACAUUUCGCUUCACAAUACUCCAUAGAAAUGUGAUAUAAGUGACUUAUUAGCACCUUUUACGCUCAGGGUAACGCAGCAAGACGCACGUGUAAAUACUAUUUUUCACAUUUCGCUUCACAAUACUCCAUAGAAAUGUGAUGUAAGUGACUUAUUAGCACCUUUUUUGGUCGGUGGCCGUCUCGGCUCCGCCUCGGCUAGGUCCCUCGACCAAAACUAUCCUCAUCUUCACCGAUACACAUCGGAAAGUGUGCUAAUAAAUACUACAUAACUAGUUUAUGGCCGUGCUGUUAAUUGGCUAUAGAAUACAAACAACGUAAGAUCCUCUUUAAACAACUAAAUAUUGUGAUUGAUAUUUUCUGAACACAGUUGUUCUAAUAUUUAGAAAUGUGAUCGAAGAUAGACAUGAUAUUUAUUUAUUUAUUAAAGAUACAUUAUGUAAGAUUUAGAUAAAGAUCUAGUCAUUCUUGCUAUAAUAGUUCAAAAAUAGCUAAUGCAAAAUGAAUAAUUUGAAAAUAGAUAAUGUAAAAUGAAUAAUUUGAAAAUUUCAGUCAAAUUACUCUAUUGCGAGCGAAGAUAUUAGUCUUUAAAGGUUUGACAAGACGUGUGCAAUAAUUUCAACCACGGUACUGAUUGUUCGAAGCUAAGUCUCGCUCCUCCAUUGAUUUUAGCUUAAAUCAAAAUAUGGAUGAACUGUUCCAAUCUAUUUAAUAUCGGAGAAACCCGAUGCCAUCGAGAGUUGACUAUGGCCUGGAUUAAUUAAUUAGUGUCUAAAUAAUAAUUUAGAAAACAUUUCAGGCCUAAAGAAAGACCUGCAAUAGGCAGAUUUAGCUCUUGCAUAAUGCAUUGAUUGUUAGAAAAAAAAACUACAUUCUUUGAUUACUAGUAUCCAUGUCGUCGAAGAGAGACAUGAUAUUAUUUAUUAAUUGUAAUUUAUUUUAGAGAAAAAAAUUACAUUCUUUGAUUACUAAUAUCCACGUGGUCGAAGAGAUGCAUAUUAUUUAUUAAUUGUAAUUUAUUUUAGAAAAAAAACUACACUCUUUGAAUACUAGUAUCCACGUGGUCGAAGAGAUACAUGAUAUUAUUUAUUAAUUGUCAUUUAUUUUAGAAAAAAACCUACAUUGUUUGAUUACUAGUAUCCACGUGGUCGAAGAGAUACAUGAUAUUAUUUAUUAAUUGUCAUUGAUUUUUAUAUAAAAGAAAUGUACAUUCAUUAAUUACUGUUAUAAUUCGCGUGACCAAGGGAUAGAAUAAAUAUUAUUAAUUAAUUUUAUAAAGAAUACUCAUUGCGUUUAUGACUUAUAACCUAUUGUUUGACCACUAUUCUUAACGUGAUGGAAUAUUAUUUAUAAUAUUUAUGAUGGUAUAUUAUUGUCUAUAUGAAAUAAAGUCAUCUCUCCACCUCUGUA